UACGUAGGUGACAAGCGUUGUCCGGAUUUACUGGGCGUAAAGAGCGCGCAGGCGGUCGUUCAAGUCGAGUGUGAAAGCCCCCGGCUCAACUGGGGAGGGUCACUCGAUACUGAUCGACUCGAAGGCAGGAGAGGGAAGUGGAAUUCCCGGUGUAGUGGUGAAAUUCGUAGAUAUCGGGAGGAACACCAGUGGCGAAGGCGGCGAUCUGGGUAGAUACUGACGCUGAGGUGCGAAAGCGUGGGGAGCAAACAGG
rnacentral:rRNA from 1 species